UGUAUCCCGCACGCUCAUAUGACCUUAUGCAAUUGUGAGUGCCGUAAAACACGUACCAAAAAAAAAAAAAUUUUGAGAGAAAACUUUAACGUUUAAGGCUGUGAUGAGAAUGAAACAAAGGGAGGUCCACGAAGGCUGUCCUGCAUGAUUCUAAAGGGAUCGAACCUUGGAGCUGAUGAGGAUGAAGCACAUGUCUUUUAUCACUUCCAAGAUGACCUCUGUUUUAAUCAAAUGGACUUCUGCAUAUGCAAAUAGCAAGAGUGGUAAUAUUGGUUAUGAAUUUGGUUGCAAUAUGGAGGCUGAAAAAUGUUAUAACAAAUAGUGUUGUAGACUGGUUGUGUAUUACUGUGCAAGGUAGGCCUACAUUUUUUAAAAACUGUUUGCAGACUUAAUUUUAACCUUUACACAGUAGGAGCAGCUUAGUACAGCCUUUGGUGUCUUUGUGUUUUUGACUGGUAACAUAAAGUGUGUGUGUGCUUACCACCUAUCAAUAAGGAGGAGCAAUAUUCAUUUGAAUUUUUUUUCCUUUUUUAAAAUUUCCAACCCGUAUUACUUGGAAGUGAAAAGUAGAUUCUUCUGUUACCCAAGAGUUAUAUAUAUAAAUAUGCUCUGUUCUUCUCAAUGCUUUAGAAUAAAGGAUUUUGUCUCUUCACUUUUUUUCUGUAUCUGUUGUCCACCUUUUUUGUAGCAGUAAAUGACAUGGGUUUUUUUUUUUGUCAAUGUACAAGUACUACUGUGUCUCAGUUCAGGAAGAGAACAGGUUUUCUCAACUGGAAAACUGCUGAGCUUUGGAAAGGGAUUUUUAAAAAUCGUACUUGCACGCUGCAGUAAUUUAGAACAUAUACAUUUGUUGAAACUAAUCUGUACCUGUUUCAACCCACAUUGUGUAGUUGAGAGGUGGAACCUAUGUUAUAUUCUAUAGAAUGAACGUAGGGAGACCCCUGAAUUCGUCCUGUGACUGAUUAAUUGAUCUGAUUAAACUUCACUUGUUAGCCUAAGUUACAAGUGUAAAAUGUGUUAUUGUAUUUUUAUUGUAUUUACUUACUUCUGCUGCUGUUUGGGGGUCAGUAAUUUUUCACAAUAUAAUCAUGUUCUUCUCCACUGGUGGGUUUUUUUCUUCCCCUACACCUGUAGCUCCCCCAAUCUACACCUCUCCUUCCCUACCAACUUACGCAUACCCAUACUACAUACACACACUUGCAUUCUUGAAAGUGGUACGUCGUAGUCAUAACAAUAAGAGUAAGCAAUUAGAUGAAAAUGUAGAAGUGUAUAUGGAAGUUGGAGGUCUAAACUUCUUUACCCGCAUGAGUAUUUCAUUGUGGUCUUGUUUGUGUCGAUAGGCAGCGAUCUUUAAAGGGGCUAACACCAUGUUUAAGAAGAUGUUAUAAUAACAGUUUGUCCAUCAUAUAAAACUGAUGAUGGCUUCCAAGGAGGAAGGAAAGUUGUAGAUCUUAUUAACUCACUGGCUACCGGCCUUGGCACGAACGUAUUUGGAAUUUUUUUUCCGCUAAAGGGUAGCCACUGUGGUGCGAACGGCUCGCGGUAUUAAAUCAUGAGUCAUUUCCCUUUAAUUUGAGACCGCUUCUUGCUCUCUAGCGCGAAAGGUAUUUUUUUAGUGAAUUGUUUCCUAAAGUCACUCUUCAGUCAGCAAAAAGGUAUUUUUUUAGUGAAUUGUUUCCUAAAGUCACUCUUCAGUCAGCAAAAUGGCGUCCUCUCGACCAAAACGUCAACAGUCUGCUAGAGCGAAUAUCUUUGAAAUAAGAUAACACAAAUCUGUUUUGUUUUACAUAUAGUUUAUUAUGUUUUUUCUUAUCAGUGAAAAUUUGAAGCUUCUUCUAUGUUUAAUAGGUUGGUCUCAGUGAUUUUUUGAAAAUACCCCCAAAAAUGUUGGUAGUCAGUGAGUUAAUAUUAGCUACAGUUAAUAUUAGCUACAGCAGGUAGCUAGUAUGGUGAAGAGAGAAAAGUAAGGGAAAUAAUAGCAUGCAAGUCGUAAUGAUCACACAGUGCUUGUCCCUUUCCCAAAGUGGUACACCUAUUUGUCUAAACAUGAGGUUAUUUGGUUAAAAAAUAAGAUGUUAAACCACACACCAAUAAAAAAAAUCAUGUGUGUUUUCAGGGCUCUUCAUGAUGGACCUGUAGUGUUCUGAAUGCUUGUGCAUGGUGUAGCAUAAUACUUAUUUAUAUGUUCUGUCAAGGAAGUGCAGCAGCCCUGUUGGAACAUGAUUUCAUUGUGUCUCAUGGGUCUUUUUAUUUUAUGUGCCGGGUAAUAUCUUUAUAUAGUAUAAGAGAUAUGGGUAUAAAUUACUUCAUUCAAGACAAAAGAUUAUUUAAACUUCCUCACUUGUUUCACUACAUCUUCACAACACAAUUGCAUUACUCUUUUCUUUUGUCAAUAGAUCAAUGUUCUUUUAUUUGACAUGAAUUGGCAAUCAGAUCUUCUAGCUUGGAUAGAUGUAAAAUAAAAUAAAGUUGUAUAAAAUGAAGCAAGACACAGAAAAUGCUAUCAGUAUAUACUUUACAAAAAUUAAGCCUUUUCUUUUCAGUUUUGAUAAUCAAACAUGAUUAUAUAUUACAUUGAAAUAUUUAUGACAUAUAUCACAGAUUAGCUCAAGUUGUGUUCAUCCUUAUUCUGUGGCUCAAGCCUCCCAGAAUUCUCAUUUGACAUCUCGACCUUCCAUCUCAAAGAUUUCUAUAUAUGAAAGUUACUUGUGAUCAGUGUACAGUCAAACCUUGUUAUAUCACCCUCUAUUACUAUUAUACCGCCAGCCUUUGCCUGCCAAUGUACGGAAAGGAAUGCUCAUAUAAUUGGCUUGAAUAAACUUCAAAGGAACUGUGCAACUUCAGACUGCAGCAAAAUGUCUGGCAUUGCCAGAUAUCAGCCUGAUGACAAAAGGCUAGUUAGUGCCCAUGAGGCUUUUACUUUGUGAGGACUCACGCUCAGGUUUACAUGACCAGUCAGAGGUGACUGGAGGACUGAUGAGUAUUGGAUAGAGAGAAAAAAAAAUUUGUCAGGGUCCUUGACACUAAUAUAGCCUAGCUUCAUGUCCGGCAAAAAUUUUCUAUUUGAUUUUACAUAAAGUUUAGUUGGAGCCAUACAUGUAAUUGGUUGCAAAGUGCUUUUUCCCCUGCGUGUGGCAAUUGCACAAGACAGAUCAGAAUGAGGCAAGACUGGCCACCGUUUGUCUCCAAUCUCUAGUUUUUACGUGUACCACUCUACCAGUAGUCAAGAUGGCUAUCGGUGCUAUUCCAUUAUGUACCGCCAACUUCAUGCUCGUCUCAAGGUAGGCAGUAUAUAACAGGGUUUGACUGUACUUGUGUUUUCAUUCCAGGGAUAUGAAUGAAGUACAGCAUAAGUGUUAGAUGUUAAUCGGUCAAUGCACCCUCGCUCAGGCUCUAAAAAUCCAAAGGAAGAACUUUGUUCUGUUUAGGCGAGUUGUUUUCCUGAAACUAAGGUCAGUAAAUUGUGAGUGAGUUAUUCCAGCUCCCCCCCCCCCCCCCCCCCCAACAAAACUUGUGGAUAAUACAGUGCAAAAUGAUGUUGGAAGGUUACUUCUCAUCAUUACAAACUGGGAUGUGAAAGUGAACAUAAACAACCAUAUUUUGCGGAAAUUUGUGAAUAUUUGGCUUAAUUGUAAUGUGUGAAGUGUUGUGGCAUAAUUUUCAUGGAUAUGCAGUGAAAGUUUUUAUUUGCUUAUUUAUCAAAAGCAUUCUGUUUGCCAUUGUGUCAUAGAAAUAAAUAAAUGAUGCUUGUUUUGAAUGAAUAAA